rnacentral:ncRNA from 2 species
ACUGAAUAACGGGAAACAGGUGCUUCCCGGAGAUGAAUCAGUCUCCGGAUAAGCUUAAUAGGGAAGUUCGGUGCAAAGCCGACGCGGUCCCGCCACUGUAACAGAAGAGUCGCAGCACACAUGUCACUGGUUGCAAGAGCAGCCGGGAAGACUGCUGACGAUGUUGACGCUGAUAGCCAGGAGACCUGCCUGUUUCGACGACACUGC